rnacentral:tRNA from 1 species
GCCCGGGUGGCGGAACUGGCAAACGCGCACGACUCAAAAUCGUGUGCCGCAAGGCUUGUGGGUUCGACUCCCACCCCGGGCACCA